UCAUAUCGGCUCAUCCUGUCUCUUCGACGUUGUUAGGGUUUCUCUCACUCUUUGAUCUCUUCGCGAUUUGUUCUCUCUUCACCGUCGAUUGCGUCAAUGGCCAGUAAUGGUGCCAAUGGUGCCGGAGCUAAGCACAUUGGCGAAGUACCUGGUAUCGUUGUGCCCUUUACAGCUUCGAAUUCGGGUUUGAGAGGUUCCUACGGCGUCAAAGGGAUACCGCUGUCUAAUUCAAAUCUUUAUACAUCUGUUGUUCCGGAGACCUCUCUGACUUUCGAGGGUGAGUUCGUGCCUAAUUCCGAUGAUAUAGAUUCAGAUCUUCAUAGAUCUGUGGUUUCGGAGACUUUCGGGACCUUUAACGGCGAGUAUGCACAGGCUCCGCUUCAGAUUUACUCUUGUCCGAGGUGCCGGAAUCUCCUAACAUUCUUUACGGGAUGGUUGUGCCGGAUUCCGAUGAUGAAUCUAUCGCUAUUGCGCCGGUGGGCAUAAACCCUAAAGGGAUGGUGGAGACUCCCUUGCCGGAGGCCACUCUACUGUUGUCCGUGAGGUUGUCCUUGAGUUCUUGAGAAUUUAUUGUCCUCUUGCCAUGUCAUUGCUCGAGUUCUCUAAGUUUUCUUCAUCACUUGAAGAAGAAAGUGAAAAAUAAGGCCCACGUUGAAGCGUCUAUUAGUUCAAUGUACGUUGUGGAGGAGCUUGCUGCUUUUUCAACUUUGUACUUUCAGGAACAAGCAUCAGCAAACACAAUUGACUUGCAACCGACUUUUGGCCCAGAGCCAUUCUCAGUGUUUAUGUUUCCAGGAACCUCAAGGGAGGCAUCAACGAUGCGGUAUAUAUCUGAGGUAUAAUGUCAUUGUGCAGACACAUUUAUUCUUCUAGACACACCUGAGGCAG